GGUUGACCGAAAGUUGAUCGCGUCGCCAUCUUCUCUUUGCGGCGCCGCUUGUCUCUCGUGCUCCGGGCGCCGAGAUCUCCGGAUUCUUCGUCUCCCUCCUCCUAUUAAGUUCUUCCUCCAGAGAAAGCUGCUUCUUAUUCAAUAGGUAUUAUAUCCUGAUUACUUAGGAUAUAAAAGAGCUACCUCUUAUUCAGAUGAGCAGUAGCUUCAAGGUUUUUGGGCACAUCAAAGGUUUUUCUUCUGAUCCAUGGCUGCAAAAACAAUGAAAAAAAGAUGAGAGUUUCCCCUUGAAAGUAAUACCGAUUGUUCAAACAAGAGAUUAAUCUGAAUUUCAGCUGGCUUCCAAAAAAGGUCGAGUUUCCUUUAGAUGUUCCUUCACCUGCUUCAAGCAUACCUCUGCAGGAGCAAAUGGAACUUCCACUGCCAAACGAGAUCCCAUUCGUAACUUUUCUUCCAGUAGCCAUAGAGAACGGGAUAUUGUUGGUGCUGCUGAUGCAAUUGAACUGGAUGUAAAAGAAAUAUAUCUUAAGAGUAGCCUUAAAAAGCCACUGCUCAUAGAUAGCUCCGAUUUAUCUGCUCAAGCUGUUGUAAAAAAUGAUUAUUUAAGAAAUUUACCGAGCAGCACAUCAGGGUUUACCAAAAGGAGGAAGGUACAGUGGGCCGAUACUUGCGGAACAGAGCUCAUUGAAAUUAAGGAGUUCAUUGUCAGUGAUGAUGAAUCAUCAGACGAAGAGUACGGAGAUGACGGUGACAAAGGCCACUGCGUUAUCCAAUAAACUUCUCUUCCAUUCCAUUACUGCUCCAAUCUCCACAGCGCCGUUUCCUCCUCGGCAAUGUAAAAAAAAAAAAACAACUUAGUCGUGCCGUCGUAUACUGAUUUUGAUUUUAUUUGCGAACUAUUGUUUUGAUAAAAGUAUUCCUUGAUACAGUUGAUUCUACAAUUCUUUGCU